UNCCUGAUGCUAUGGACCAAAUGCUUUUGUC
rnacentral:piRNA from 1 species